UAGUGACAACCUGAGACAUGUACAUGUU
rnacentral:piRNA from 1 species